GUGCUCGCUUCCGCAGCGCAUAUACUAAAGCUGGAACGAUACAGAGAUUAGCACGGCCCCUGCGCAAAGAUGACACGCAAAUCCGUGAAGCGUUCCAUGUUUUU